rnacentral:rRNA from 1 species
AAGAAAGUAAGCAAGGGCGCAUGGCGGAUGCCUUGGCUCUCGGAGGCGAUGAAGGACGUGAUAAGCUGCGAUAAGCUUCGGGUAGGUGCAAAUAACCUUUGAUCCGAAGAUUUCCGAAUGGGACAACCCGACAUUCUGAAGGAAUGUCAUCCUGCUUGGCAGGAGGCUAACGCAGGGAACUGAAACAUCUUAGUACCUGUAGGAAAAGAAAAUAAUAAUGAUUCCCCAAGUAGUGGCGAGCGAACGGGGAUUAGCCCAAACCAAUGUUGUUACGGCAAUAUUGGGGUUGUAGGACCACGUUGUCGCAAGACAUUCAGUGAGAAGAAUUCUUUGGAAAAUGAAACCAUAGACGGUGAUAGUCCGGUAUUCGAAGCUGAACGAAGCGUAGUGGUAUCCUGAGUAGCGCGGGACACGAGGAAUCUUGCGUGAACCAGCCGGGACCAUCCGGUAAGGCUAAAUACUCCCGAGAGACCGAUAGCGAACCAGUACUGUGAAGGAAAGGUGAAAAGCACUUCGAAUAGAAGAGUGAAAUAGUCCCUGAAACCAUGCGCCUACAAGCGGUCGGAGCAGCUUAUGCUGUGACGGCGUGCCUUUUGCAUAAUGAACCUACGAGUUACUUUUUCCGGCAAGGUUAAGGAUCUGGAGAUCCGUAGCCGAAGCGAAAGCGAGUCUGAACAGGGCGAUAAGUCGGAAGGAGUAGACGCGAAACCAAGUGAUCUACCCUUGGCCAGGUUGAAGGUUAGGUAACACUAACUGGAGGACCGAACCGAUAAGCGUUGAAAAGCUUCCGGAUGAGCUGAGGGUGGGGGUGAAAGGCUAAUCAAACUUGGAGAUAGCUCGUACUCCCCGAAAUGCAUUUAGGUGCAGCCUUGUGAGUUACUAAUGUGAGGUAGAGCGACUGAUAAGAUGCGAGGGCUUCACCGCCUAUCAAGUCUUGAUAAACUCCGAAUGCGCAUUAGUUCUAUCACAGGAGUGAGGGCAUGGGUGCUAAGGUCCAUGUCCUAAAGGAGAAGAAUCCGGACCAUCAGCUAAGGUCCCGAAAUAGAUACUAAGUUGAACUAACGAAGUCAGAUUGCUAAGACAGCUAGGAUGUUGGCUUG